UGAGGAAUUUUCCGCAAUGGGCGCAAGCCUGACGGAGCAAUACCGCGUGGAGGAGGAAGGCCCGUGGGUCGUAAACUCCUUUUCUCAGAGAAGAACACAAUGACGGUAUCUGAGGAAUAAGCAUCGGCUAACUCCGUG
rnacentral:rRNA from 1 species